ACGGGAGGCAGCAGUAGGGAAUUUUCGGCAAUGGAGGAAACUCUGACCGAGCAACGCCGCGUGAAUGAAGAAGUACUUCGGUAGGUAAAAUUCUUUUAUUAGGGAAGAACGAUCUGUGGAAAAACAGAAUUGACGGUACCUAAUGAAUAAGCCCCGGCUAACUAUGUGCCAGCAGCCGCGGUAAUACAUAGGGGGCAAGCGUUAUCCGGAAUUAUUGGGCGUAAAGGGUGCGUAGGCGGCCAUUUAAGUCCUUGGUGUAAGUGCAGCGCUCAACGCUGUGAUGCUAAGGAAACUGAAUGGCUUGAGUGAGAUAGAGGCAAGUGGAAUUCCAUGUGUAGCGGUAAAAUGCGUAAAUAUAUGGAGGAACACCAGUGGCGAAGGCGGCUUGCUGGGUCUUCACUG
rnacentral:rRNA from 1 species